GGCAGCCACAUGCAGGGAAACUUGCAUGUGUGGUUCUGGCCAAGGACAAUAUAAAUCCAAAAAUUUAGUUUUUAAUUUAGAUUUCUUAUAAACUUUCU
rnacentral:ncRNA from 1 species